GGCCGCCCGCUCGCCCCAAGGUGCCUGCGGAGCUCGGCGCCGGCCGUGCGGGAGGGGGCGGCGGGAGCUUCCCCUCGGCGCCGGGCACGAUGAUGGUGGGCAAGACCAGCGCCAUCGCGGCGGGCCUUUGCGGGGCCCUUUUCAUCGGUUACUGCAUCUACUUCGACCGCAAGAGACGGAGCGACCCGAAUUUCAAGAACCGGCUGCGGGAGCGAAGGAAGAAACAGAAGCUUGCCAAAGAGAGAGCAGGGCUUUCCAAGUUGCCUGAUCUGAAAGAUGCUGAAGCAGUUCAGAAGUUUUUUCUUGAGGAGAUUCAGCUUGGCGAGGAACUACUAGCUCAAGGUGAAUAUGAGAAAGGUGUUGAUCACUUGACCAAUGCCAUUGCUGUGUGUGGACAGCCGCAGCAGCUACUACAAGUUCUACAGCAGACUCUUCCACCACCAGUGUUUCAAAUGCUUCUAACUAAGCUCCCUACAAUAAGCCAGAGAUGUGUGUGGCACUCUGAAGAAUCUGUCAAGAUGAAGUGUCUGCUUCUGCAAGCUCACAGCCUGCGGUCCUGAUCCUGUAAUUUACUCUGCAUGGUCCUUUCCUCAUGGAAACCAAAGCAGUCAAGAGCAGGACAUUGGGACAGUGACACAGGAAGGGAGAAGGAGGACUCAGUAUGGUGGGACCUGUCCAUCUCAUGAUGCACAGAGCUUUCUUCCAUGCCAGCUGUGUGGGAAAGUGGUCUCUCCUCUGCUUGGCUGAGAGAGGCCCAGGUGAGGCACACAAACUCCCAUUGCUUCUCCAAGGACACACUGAGAGCCUCUGGUAGAAGGGGGAACAAAAGCCCUAUCUCUGGUUCAGUGCUUCAACCGCAGAAAUGUAAUUUAUCAAUAUAGAUAGCUUUAGAUGAAAGAUACAUCAAAGCAUAUUUUUGGCUGCUGCCUUCAGAGGUAGUACUAAAUCUCCUGGGGGAAUGCAAGCAGUGAGAUAUGGUCCAAGUAUCAAAAUCCCCAUCUUCUUACUGUCUCUCCUCCUCUCUCACACUGGUGGGGUUCACAGGGAAGCCCUUUCUUGGGGUUGUAAUGUCAUCUAUUCCCAUCAGUAGAUUUUGGUUCAGAAAUGCACUUUCGUUCUUUUCCAGCAAAACGCUGCCUAUUUCAACACUAACUCUGAAGAUCUGUAAAUUGGCAAAGGAUCCAAAAAGAAUAAUGAACCAGCAGUUACUGUUUACAUUGGCCACCUUGUAUAAGUGCUGAUAUUAGUAUUUCUGAAAGGAUUCAUUCAUCACUGAACAAAGGUUUGUACCUGUGAAUAAGAGCUUGCUUGGGAGGGCCUGUGUGCCUCCUUUCCUCUAUCAACAAAGCUUACAAAUGUCAAGAGAUGGUUUUGCAAUGGAUGUUAAUGCAUACCUAUUACUUCAGGAUGAGAAUAAGCCACCGAAAAUAUUCCAUGCCUAUUUCUGAUG